UACGUAGGGUGCAAGCGUUAAUCGGAAUUACUGGGCGUAAAGCGUGCGCAGGCGGCUUGCCAAGUCAGAUGUGAAAGCCCCGGGCUCAACCCGGGAAUGGCGUUUGAAACUGACAGGCUAGAGUUUGGCAGAGGGGGGGUGGAAUUCCACGUGUAGCAGUGAAAUGCGUAGAGAUGUGGAGGAACACCGAUGGCGAAGGCAGCCCCCUGGGCCAAAACUGACGCUCAGGCACGAAAGCGUGGGGAGCAAACAGG
rnacentral:rRNA from 1 species